AGGGGUGUAGCUCAGCUUGGCAGAGCAUCGGACUCCAAAUCCGACGGUCGGGGGUUCGAGCCCCUCCACCCCUGCCA
rnacentral:tRNA from 1 species